rnacentral:rRNA from 1 species
CCGAUGAAUGUGUGAUCAUUAUUUGACCAGUGUGAACUGUCCAACAAAUCUUUAGGGGUCGGCACAGGUAGAAGUGGUCGUUAAAUGGUGGAUAUUCCUUCCAGCAGCCCCGCCAUUGUGUGUUACUAUGCAUAUUAAACGUAAAAGACUGAGAGAACGUAUCCUCAUGAUCACCAUGAAAGGAAAAACUGUUAAAGAAAGAGACAAACAACUUUUGACGGUGGAUCUCUUGGCUCACGUAUCGAUAAAGAACGCAGCCAGCUGCGAUAUGUAGUGUGAAUUGCAGAAUUCAGUGAAUCAUUGAAUCUUUGAACGCAAAUGGCGCUCUUGGGUUCUCCCAGGAGCAUGUCUGUCUGAGUGUCGGAUUUUAUCGAACGCACACUCACUCGUGAGUGUGCGGUAUUGAGGUGUCACGGCGUGAAGAAUCAGUGUAUUAAUGAUCGCCGUGUCCCUUGAAGAGCAGCAGCAGCAGCAGCAUUCUCUAUUGAAACUUGAGUGCGAAGGCUAAAGAUAUUGCUAUUUUCCUUCGCUGCAGGUUGGUUUAGGGUUGUUGGGUUGCUGAAAAAGAGAAAGAAAGAAAGAAAUCCAAUCAAUCUUGACCUCAGAUCAGGCAAGGCUACCCGCUGAAUUUAA